ACAUAAUACAGUACAAUAAUAUCUGUGACGAUGAGCAGUUGUUAAUGCUAAAAGCUAUGAUUAAUUGUUCUCACUCAGAAGAAAUAAUGUGUUCAUGUGAGGAAGACUGAAAAAAAAUAAAACCUCUUCCUCUUUAAUUUCAAGUGAGCUUUAUGGAGAGGAAGAAUUGGCCUCUAUGCAGAACAGGAGGAAACGUGCUGAAUGUAUGAGAGGAACUGAGGGGUGAAAUUAAAGAAGGGAACUCAAGGACUUUGGCUCCUCACCGAGUGCUUAACAAUAUCUCCAUCAUCAGCAUGUCAUCACUCAAUUAAAAGACCAAAGGCCAUUCCAGGAAGAUCUUGUGGUCGUCCUUCUAACCUUCUGUCGUGUUCAUGCAUGUGUGUCUGUAUUCAAUGAACAAUAGGCACUCCUUCAAUUGUUUUGUUAUCAGUCCCCCGCCAUGCCCCCCCCGACAUAUACA